ensembl:lncRNA
UAUAAAUUUAAUCUUCAUAAGAGUGAACUUUUGCCUAUAAAUUCCGUGGCCAUAGCUUACCCUCUUUCAAUUUUGCCAUUUGAGACAUCAUUAGAUCAAUUCAAUUAUAUUGUUCAUACAAUUAUAUUGAUCAAUUCAAUUAUACUAAAAGCUUAGUUUGGUUCCAGAUUUGCUCUAAAAUCUGGAACCAAAAUUAGUACCUCGAUGGCGCCGCAGACGGCUGCUUCAGUGCUUGGCUCUCCAGUGUUUGUACUGUUUUUGUUCGUUUUUCCUGUUUUUUGUUUGUCAAACACGAUCAGUUUCACCAGGGAUGAACUGCUGAACAUUCGGCAGAAUACACCACAAAAUCUUUUACCGGAUUUCAAUUAUUCGGACGUUUUACUGAACGUUGUUGUUGGUGGAGCAGCGGCGCUGAUCAAACGCUUCAAAAAGCGCAAACAGGGAAAGCGAGCCGGUGCGCUCGUUAGACUCAGGAAGCGCGGAUUUCGAACGCCGUUGCCUAGCAUCCAUCUGGCAAAUCUCCGCUCUCUACCCAACAAAACGGACGAAAUCCUUCUGCUUUCCCGGACAAAUAAGGAUUUAUCACACUCUGCUGCUCUGUGUUUCACGGAAACCUGGCUCAAUGACGCCAUACCGGAUAGCGCGCUCCAUCUGCCGGGCUUUCAGCUGUUCAGAGCGGACCGCGACGCAGAAUCAACGGGGAAAUCGCGCGGCGGCGGGACAUGCUUUUACAUCAACGAAAGGUGGUGUACAGAUGUAACUUUGUUAAAGAAGAUGUGCUGCUCAGAUCUCGAAACACUCUUCAUUAACUGCAAGCCGUUCUAUUCGCCGCGGGAGUUUCACUCGUUCAUUCUGGUGAGUGUUUAUAUCCCUCCGCAAGCGCACGUAAGUCUGGCUUUACAGAAACUCGCUGACCAGAUUACAGAGACAGAACAACAACACCCAGACUCUGUUUUAAUAAUUCUCNNNNNNNNNNNNNNNNNNNNNNNNNNNNNNNNNNNNNNNNNNN